GCAAAUUUCUCUGGUCUCCCCACUCUGUCUUGACAAGGACAGCAGCGGACCCUGCUCCAUGAAUACUAACAGAAGCUGCCGGCAGAGCGCAGAUGCACAGGGCCAGGGACCUCUCCCACUGAAGAGCCACAGAAAUCCAGACACUACCUCCUGGCUGAUCAACUCAUUCCAGUCAGCCAGGACCAUUCUGGUUUUAGCACUGCAAGUCUGGUGUCCUAGGAAAUACCUCACAGUCCCAGGCAAAUCAGAAAGAGAAUGCUAACUCCAGCUCACCUCACAGCAAUGUGCCUCAAAGAAGGAAAGACUUGCAGAGUUAGAAUCCAAAGACACUGGCUUGCCGUCUGACUCCUCUCCUAUUUUGAGCUGUUUGAGUGUCUGUUUCCUGAAUCUUAAACUGUAAAAUGUUCAUUUUUGUAAAGAUGACAUGAGAUUAAGAUUGUUUAUAUGCCUGCC
rnacentral:lncRNA from 1 species